ACAGGGACGGGACAGGGACAAAAACCAAGGAAACUGGUGACGUCAAAGUGACAUUGGUUAGUGUAGCUGGGAGUGGCUUCUGGUGGUAAGAGUGGUUGCACCUCAACACGGCUCCAGCCAAGGCCGGGUUUCAGCGACCACUUAAGAUGCGGUGUCAGAUGCCUGAAGUCCUGCUUUUCUGCCAUGCCCUCCUGUGCGGCCAGCAGGGUGUGACAGGGAGUAUCUGACCCCAGGAUGGGACCCUGGGUCAGUGUGGGGUUGUGUGCAUACUGACUGGAACUAACACUGAGACAGGAGAGAUAAAAAUUACACCACCCAGACAAGAGAUUUUUAAAAAUUGCUUGAAGAGAAUAAAACUGACACUUAACACUGAUCACCUUGUAGCCGGUGCUGCAGGAACUCUGCUGGGUGGUGAGGGCGCCCCCGUGUGUCGCUGCCAUGUAAUGUCACCUCGUCUUGGCGGCAUCGGCUUGCUUCCUCCUGUCGCAUCAUUUGGUGAGCUCUGAGGACGCUUCCUCGCUUCCUUCCAGCCUUCGCUCAACAGCCGGCUUUCAGAGGCUUCCCCCAGAGGCCCUAAAGUAGUACCACUUGCAUUGGUCCCAGCACUGCAUUGAGUUUCUUUGCACCAUCACCACAGGUGCUCAGUGAGUGUUGAAUUGGAUUACCUGGGCUAUAACUUCUCCUUCCUUCAAAGGAGGUUGUUGGACUGGAAUCCUUAGCUCCCAUGUCCCACAACCCUGCCUACGUCCUACGUUGGAAAGUGACCGACAAAUGAGAAAAACGGUAUCUGCAAGUA